rnacentral:ncRNA from 1 species
CUUGCUAAACACUUCAACGGUGUGAUUUUUUUAGUAGGAUAAUCGGGAAGUUGGUGCGUUUUCAUUGAUGAAGUCAAUCCCAACACUGCCCCCGCAACGGUAAAGUUAUGCUGUAUUAAAUUAUGGUAACUGAGUCCGGAGACCGGCCUUGAUGUAAUCUUACUAA